rnacentral:rRNA from 1 species
GUAAGUUCCUGGUAAAAUUGGGCAGCUUAAGUGUCCUUAUGCUAGGAAUACUGCUUUACUAGAGGGCGGGAGAGGUCUGAGGUACUACAGGGGUAGGAGUGAAAUCUUAUAAUCCUUGUAGGACCACCAGUGGCGAAGGCGUCAGACUGGAACGCGCCUGACGGUGAGGGACGAAGGCCAGGGAGCGAACCGGAUUAGAUACCCGGGUAGUCCUGGCCGUAAACGAUGCACACUAGAUGAUGGUGCGGCCAUGAGCCGUAUCAGUGUCGUAGGGAAACCGUUAAGUGUGCCGCCUGGGAAGUACGGUCGCAAGGCUUAAACUUAAAGGAAUUGGCGGGGGAGCACCACAAGGGGUGAAGCCUGCGGUUCAAUUGGACUCAACGCCGGGCAACUUACCAGGGGAGACAGCAGAAUGAAGGUCAGGUUGACGACCUUACCUAACAAGCUGAGAGGAGGUGCAUGGCCGUCGCCAGUUCGUGCUGUGAGGUAUCCUGUUAAGUCAGGCAACGAACGAGACCCGUGCCUUUAUUUGCCAUCAAGAAGUCACGACUUCGUUGGGAACGAUAAAGGGACUGCCGUCGAUAAGGCGGAGGAAGGAGCGGGCAAAGGCAGGUCAGUAUGCCCCGAAACCCCCUGGGCUACACGCGGGCUGCAAUGGUGCGAACAAUGGGCUGUGACUCCGACAGGAGAAACCAAUCCCGAAAUCGCAUCUCAGUUGGGAUUGUCAACUGUAACCCGUUGACAUGA